rnacentral:rRNA from 1 species
CCUACGGGUGGCAGCAGUGAGGAAUAUUGGUCAAUGGACGCGAGUCUGAACCAGCCAAGUCGCGUGAAGGAAGACUGCCCUAUGGAUUGUAAACUUCUUUUGUAAAGGAAUAAAACGAGCCACGUGUGCCUUUUUGCGUGUACUUUCUGAAUAAGUAUCGGCUAACUCCGUGCCAGCAGCCGCGGUAAUACGGAGGAUGCGAGCUUUAUCCGGAUUUAUUGGGUUUAAAGGGAGCGUAGGUGGGUUGUUAAGUCAGUUGUUAAAUUUUGGGGCUCAACCCUAAAAGAGCAUUUGAUACUGGCUGUCUUGAGUUGAGUAGAGGUAUGCGGAAUGCGGGGUGUAGCGGUGAAAUGCAUAGAUAUCACGAAGAACCCCGAUUGCGAAGGCAGCAUACCAACUCGUAACUGACGUUGAGGCACGAAAGUGUGGGUAUCAAACAGGAUUAGAUACCCUAGUAGUC